UACGUAGGGGGCUAGCGUUGUCCGGAAUCAUUGGGCGAAAGCGCGUGUAGGCGGUUCGGUAAGUCCGCUGUGAAAGUCGGGGGCUCAACCCUCGAAUGCCGGUGGAUACUGUCGGGCUAGAGUGCGGAAGAGGCGAGUGGAAUUCCUGGUGUAGCGGUGAAAUGCGCAGAUAUCAGGAGGAACACCAAUUGCGAAGGCAGCUCGCUGGGACGCUACUGACGCUGAGACGCGAAAGCGUGGGGAGCAAACAGG
rnacentral:rRNA from 1 species